rnacentral:rRNA from 1 species
CCUUGCCAGCCCGCUACAGAACUCAAAGGAAUUGACGGGGGCCCGCACAAGCGGUGGAGCAUGUGGUUUAAUUCGAUGAUACGCGAGGAACCUUACCUGGGCUCAAAUGUAUGUUGACGUAUUCUGAAAGGGAUACUUCUUCGGACAAUAUACAAGGUGCUGCAUGGUUGUCGUCAGCUCGUGCCGUGAGGUGUCGGGUUAAGUCCCAUAACGAGCGCAACCCCUACCUUUAGUUGCCAUCAGGUUAAGCUGGGGACUCUAAAGGAACUGCCUACGCAAGUAGUGAGGAAGGCGGGGAUGACGUCAAAUCAGCACGGCCCUUACGUCCAGGGCUACACACGUGCUACAAUGGCCGAUACAGAGGGCAGCUACCUGGUGACAGGAUGCAAAUCUCCAAAGUCGGUCUCAGUUCGGAUCGGAGUCUGCAACCCGACUCCGUGAAGUUGGAUUCGCUAGUAAUCGCGCAUCAGCCAUGGCGCGGUGAAUACGUUCCCGGGCCUU